CAGUAGCCACGGUAAUACGAAGGGUGCAAGCGUUAAUCGGAAUUACUGGGCGUAAAGCGUGCGUAGGCGGUUUGUUAAGUCUGCUGUGAAAUCCCCGGGCUCAACCUGGGAAUGGCAGUGGAUACUGGCAAGCUAGAGUGUGUCAGAGGAUGGUGGAAUUCCCGGUGUAGCGGUGAAAUGCGUAGAGAUCGGGAGGAACAUCAGUGGCGAAGGCGGCCAUCUGGGACAACACUGACGCUGAGGCACGAAAGCGUGGGGAGCAAACAGGAUUAGAUACCCCUGUAUCCCUGUCUCUUAUACA
rnacentral:rRNA from 1 species